CGUCAGUACCACAGGUGGUCACCUUCUCCGUGAGAAGCCCCUUCACAGACUGACCGAAUCGCGCUUGAGAAUCUGGCGUUCCAGUCGCCAUCAUUUCAACUAGCGAACGCCUCCGCACUGGCGAUGAUCAGGCAUUUUUUCAUCAUCACUGUCUUGUGAAUGAUCGUCUGCUCCAUCUGCUAAAUCUACAUCUUCUUCACCACCCAUAUUGUUCAUCAUCUCAGAGAAAUGAUCAAAAUCAGACAUGGCUUCAUCUGAAUCAUCUUCCCAGUCUUUCCAAUGAUUGGAGUCCACACUCAGCCAGUUAAGCUUUGCCCUUUGUUUUGUUAACCUUGGCCAUGACUGGCCACAUUUUCCUUUUUGUAAACAAAUAAAAUUGAUCUGUCCAUU